AGUGAACGCUGGCGGUAGGCCUAACACAUGCAAGUCGAACGGCAGCACAGUAAGAGCUUGCUCUUACGGGUGGCGAGUGGCGGACGGGUGAGGAAUACAUCGGAAUCUACUUUUUCGUGGGGGAUAACGUAGGGAAACUUACGCUAAUACCGCAUACGACCUACGGGUGAAAGCAGGGGAUCUUCGGACCUUGCGCGAUUGAAUGAGCCGAUGUCGGAUUAGCUAGUUGGCGGGGUAUAGGCCCACCAAGGCGACGAUCCGUAGCUGGUCUGAGAGGAUGAUCAGCCACACUGGAACUGAGACACGGUCCAGACUCCUACGGGAGGCAGCAGUGGGGAAUAUUGGACAAUGGGCGCAAGCCUGAUCCAGCCAUACCGCGUGGGUGAAGAAGGCCUUCGGGUUGUAAAGCCCUUUUGUUGGGAAAGAAAAGCAGCAGGUUAAUACCCCGCUGUUCUGACGGUACCCAAAGAAUAAGCACCGGCUAACUUCGUGC
rnacentral:rRNA from 1 species